CAUCUACAAGCCAGGAAGGAGUUUCACUGGAAACUGACCAUGCUGGCAUGAUGAUCUUGGACUUUCAAACUCCAGAAUGGUCUCUGAAGGGGGUGCUUCCUCUCCCACUGUCGCCCAGACGCACCAGCUUCCUGAGGGUAGUGACCAUCCUGGUGCCACCACGCUUUCCAAAAAAUUAGCCCUUUGUGGUGAAAUUUUCCAUGCUUGGUUUCAGCCCAAAGGUUUCUGGGCUCAAAUGAAGAACCAAGUAUAAGGCACCAAAACACUUUUGCAAGGAUGUGAAGAUUAAGAAAAAUCCAAUUUUCCUGGUUUUCAAGUGUGCAGGCUUAAAGGACAAAGAGAAGGAAAUCUGCUCCGAUAAACAUUUCUAUUUCUUUUUCAUUUUCAGCAUCUCUCUCUCUGCAUGGGUUAUUCC